GAUGAAGAACGUAGCGAAAUGCGAUAAGUAGUGUGAAUUGCAGAAUUCAGUGAAUCAUCGAAUCUUUGAACGCACAUUGCGGCCAUAGGUAUUCCUUUGGCCAUGCCUGUUCGAGCGUCAUUUACACCCUCAAGCCUAGCUUGGUGUUGGGCGCCUGUCCCGCCGUUUUCGCGCGCGGACUCGCCUCAAAGUCAUUGGCGGCGGUCGUGCCGGCCCCCUCGCGCAGCACAUUUGCGCUUCUCGGAGGCCCGGCGGAUCCGCGCUCCAGCAAGACCUUUCACGAUUUGACCUCGGAUCAGGUAGGGAUACCCGCUGAACUUAAGCAUAUCAAUAAGCGGAGGA
rnacentral:misc_RNA from 1 species